AUUUCAAACCAAAUACUUUUAGACAUUUUACUCAAGUAUUUUACUGGGUGACUUUUUCAUGAGUAAUUUUCUAUUUAGUUAUCUUUACUUUUACUCAAGUAUGACAAUUGGGUACUUGUUCCACCACUGACUAGAGGUCACACUUUUGGGUCAUAGGUCACUGGUCAUAUGUAUAGGCACACAGGUGAUCAGGAAGUAGCGCUACACAGCCGUUACCAUGUUCACCAGUAACAAUUUUGGAAUGAUAUGCGCUUACGGUAACUACAUCUGCCAGUAUGGAAUUAUUGAUGUAUUUUGCUGCUAAUAAAUAGGUAAAAAACCCAACCAAAGAUCUAUGUUUGGAAAGUGGUUUCUUUUGCAAGCAUUUCUGAACAUCUGCAACCCCACCUGUGCCAAAUUGUAGAAUUAGUCCUCUUGUGAUACAUCCAUUGGCUCCCAAUUGAUAGCCACUACAUGCCUAAGUAACCCUACAAACAUGAACAAGUGUGGAUGGACUGCUCUGGUGCGUCAUCCUUCCGGUACAAUGGUCUGUCUGUGGUGUAUUUCCUUUUCCUGCUCACCCUUCCCCUGCUGCCAAACCCCUCUCUCACCUCCAUGCAAGGUAAGACCUCAGAGGAACACCACUGGGUCUGAAAUGGCACCUCAAGUUCUAGACUAUAAACAAUAAGGCACAUUUUAUUCCAAGUUACACUGUCUUUUGUUCUAUGCUACUGGGUCCUCUAUAUGUUUUAAUGUUUGCUAAUAAACACCAUGUUUGAUCAAUGUGGCCCUUGGGAGACAAAUCAUUUUAAUGUUCAUGUUUAUUGGGCUGCCUGUCUAUUAUUUCCAGAAUAUUGUUAAAUUACACUCAUAGGGUUCUUCGGUUUGUCCACAUUGGGGAACCCUUUUUGGUGCUAGGUAGGACCUUUUGCAAAGGUUCCUACCUAGAACCCUCUAUGUAGGGUUCUCAUAGAACCCUCUGUAUAAGGUUCUGCCUGGAUCCCUCUAUGAAAGGUUCUACCAAUAACCAUUUUAUAAUCUAUAGAUUCUUACUAGAACCAUCUAUGAAGGGUUCUACCGAUAACCGUUUUUAUCUUUGGAGGGUUCUUCCUAGAACCGUCUAUGAAUGGUUCCACAAGCCUCAUUAGCCUUUAAAAUAACAU
rnacentral:lncRNA from 1 species